UGGUCAUAUUGCAUUUUACCCAUCUUCACUAUCAUCAUCAUUAAACUGGAUGUCUUCCUCAUUACCACUAAACUCAAUUGCCUUCUUCAUUAUCAUCAAAUUGUUUGGCUUUCUCAUUAUCACCACACUUGAUGCCUUCUUCAUUAUCACCAAACUGGUUAUCUUCUUGCUCAUCAUCAAAGAUCUUCAAUGGAGAUAAUAUUUUUAAGGGAUGCUGAGUUAUAACUACUGUAUCCUCUCCUCUUACCUUAGGAAUAAAAGACUUCAUUUUCUUAAUAUCAUCAAUUGAUAUUAGUUCCCUGUAUCCCGUAACCGGAUCAAAGUGGUAGAAUAAUAAUUAAUUCCCCAUAAAGUCCAACCUCUAUUGUCAUACUACUCAAUUCAUUUGGG
rnacentral:lncRNA from 1 species